UACAGAGGUGGCAAGCGUUGUUCGGAAUUACUGGGCGUAAAGGGCGCGUAGGCGGCCGCCUAAGUCAGACGUGAAAUCCCCCGGCUUAACCUGGGAACUGCGUCUGAUACUGGGUGGCUUGAGUUCGGGAGAGGGAUGCGGAAUUCCAGGUGUAGCGGUGAAAUGCGUAGAUAUCUGGAGGAACACCGGUGGCGAAGGCGGCAUCCUGGACCGAGACUGACGCUGAGGCGCGAAAGCCAGGGGAGCAAACGGG
rnacentral:rRNA from 1 species